UAGUAUCAGCGUGCCAGCAGCCGCGGUAAUACGUAGGGUGCGAGCGUUGUCCGGAAUUAUUGGGCGUAAAGAGCUCGUAGGCGGUUUGUCGCGUCGGCCGUGAAAACUUGGGGCUUAACUCCAAGCUUGCGGUCGAUACGGGCAGACUUGAGUUCGGCAGGGGAGACUGGAAUUCCUGGUGUAGCGGUGAAAUGCGCAGAUAUCAGGAGGAACACCGGUGGCGAAGGCGGGUCUCUGGGCCGAUACUGACGCUGAGGAGCGAAAGCGUGGGGAGCGAACAGGAUUAGAUACCCUGGUAGUCCACGCCGUAAACGGUGGGUGCUAGGUGUGGGGGGCUUCCACGCCCUCUGUGCCGCAGCUAACGCAUUAAGCACCCCGCCUGGGGAGUACGGCCGCAAGGCUAAAACUCAAAUGAAUUGGCGGG
rnacentral:rRNA from 1 species